AAACAAGGAGCCGGUAUCAGGCACAACUAACCUCAGCCCAUGACACCUUGCUUAGCCACACCCUCAAGGGACUUCAGCAGUGAUAAACAUUAAGCCAUAAGUGAAAACUUGACUUAGUUAAAGCUAAAAGAGCCGGUAAAACUCGUGCCAGCCACCGCGGUUAUACGAGAGGCUCAAGUUGAUAGACAACGGCGUAAAGAGUGGUUAAGGAACCCAUUAAACUAAAGCCGAACGCCCUCAGAACUGUUAUACGUUUCCGAAGGUAAGAAGCCCCACCACGAAAGUGACUUUACUUCCCCUGACCCCACGAAAGCUGCGAAACAAACUGGGAUUAGAUACCCCAUUAUGCCCAGCCCUAAACUUUGAUAGCCUAUUACACCCACUAUCCGCCAGGGUACUACGAGCAUUAGCUUAAAACCCAAAGGACUUGGCGGUGCUUUACAUCCACCUAGAGGAGCCU
rnacentral:rRNA from 1 species